rnacentral:rRNA from 1 species
GGCAUGCCUAACACAUGCAAGUCGAACGGGGUUUAUAUAACAGAACUCUCCGGAGGGAAGAUAUAUAAACCUAGUGGCGGACGGGUGAGUAACGCGUGGGCAACCUGCCCUGUACCGGGGGACAACAGCCAGAAAUGGCUGCUAAUACCGCAUAAGCCUGCUGUGCCGCAUGGCACAGCAGGGAAAACCACGGUGGUACAGGAUGGGCCCGCGUCUGAUUAGUUAGUUGGCAGGGUAACGGCCUACCAAGACAACGAUCAGUAGCCGGCUUGAGAGAGUGGACGGCCACAUUGGGACUGAGACACGGCCCAGACUCCUGCGGGAGGCAGCAGUGGGGAAUAUUGCACAAUGGGGGGAACCCUGAUGCAGCAAUGCCGCGUGGGUGAAGAAGCACUCCGGUGCGUAAAGCCCUGUCAGCAGGGAAGAAAAUGACAGUACCUGGACAAGAAGCCCCGGCUAACUACGUGCCAGCAGCCGCGGUAAUACGUAGGGGGCAAGCGUUAUCCGGAUUUACUGGGUGUAAAGGGAGCGCAGGCGGCGUGGCAAGUCAGAUGUGAAAACUUGGGGCCCAACCCCGGGAGUGCAUUUGAAACUGCCAUGCUGGAGUGCCGGAGAGGUAAGCGGAAUUCCUAGUGUAGCGGUGAAAUGCGUAGAUAUUAGGAGGAACACCAGUGGCGGAGGCGGCUUACUGGACGGUAACUGACGCUGAGGCUCGAAAGCGUGGGGAGCAAACAGGAUUAGAUACCCUGGUAGUCCACGCCGUAAA